rnacentral:rRNA from 1 species
AGGACGAACGCUGGCGGCGUGCUUAACACAUGCAAGUCGAGCGGUAAGGCCUUUCGGGGUACACGAGCGGCGAACGGGUGAGUAACACGUGGGUGAUCUGCCCUGCACUUCGGGAUAAGCCUGGGAAACUGGGUCUAAUACCGGAUAUGACCUCAGGUUGCAUGACUUGGGGUGGAAAGAUUUAUCGGUGCAGGAUGGGCCCGCGGCCUAUCAGCUUGUUGGUGGGGUAAUGGCCUACCAAGGCGACGACGGGUAGCCGACCUGAGAGGGUGACCGGCCACACUGGGACUGAGACACGGCCCAGACUCCUACGGGAGGCAGCAGUGGGGAAUA